UCUGCUGCUGAGAGAACUCUGUCCGUGGGGACGCUUUCUCGAGAAGGGACGUGCUUCCGGAAGAAGACGGCGGCCGGCGCGGGGAGCGGUCGGGCGGGGAGGGCAGGGCGACCUGCCCGCCUCCUACCUCCGUCUCCGCGGCCUCCGCUUCCGUUGUGAGGGACUGCCGGGACGGACGGGCCGUAUCGGUCUCGCUCGGAUGGGACGCCCGUGUUUUCCCCCCCCUCGUCCGAGGGGGGAGGUUAACACGGGGCGGGAGCCGACCCCUAUGGCCGGAGGAACCGUCCGCCAGGAACCGGGCGCUGGGGCCUGGCCGGCGGGGGCCCUCCGAUGAGGGGUCUCUUUUGCGCAUCGGUCGGCGUGGCCUGACGCUCCAACGACAAAGUUCUGCACCUCCGCGGGGGAGAGGGGGGAGACGGGCAGAAAGUGUCCGGGAGAGGAGCGCUUCGGCCCGGACUCGGUGCGAGCGAAGAGCCGCUGUACUCUGACUAUAGCUCAAGGCUAGUCGCACCUAGCUCCUAACAAUCCGGCGAUAGGAGCCUACGUUUGGUGUUUUUAGGUACACGAACCGGCGCCCCUGGUAAGGUGACGGGACUUUGGCUCUGGCAGAGUCUCGCACCUCAGUGAGGCGCCGGGGGCCGGCCGAGGGGGCCGAUUGAACCCCGAGGACGGCUCUCCCGGCCGGGCCGCGGCCACCGGAGGCCUUCCCCGUGGAUAUGACAAAGUCUCGGACCUCCAGGGGUGGGACCGGGUGGUGGGGCGAAUUCAGGCCGAGGAAGGGCUCGCCCGGCCCGGCCACGGCCACCGGAGGCCUCCCCCCCUGGAUCUGACAAAGUGUCGGGCCUCCAGGGGUGGGACCGGGUGGUGGGGCGAAUUCAGGCCGGGGAGGGCUCGCCCGGCCCGGCCGCAGCCACCGGAGGCUCCCCCCCUGGAUCUGACAAAGUGUCGGACCUCCAGGGGUGGGACCGGGGGGUCGGCCGAAUUCAGGCCGGGGAGGGCUCGCCCGGCCCGGCCGAAGCCACCGGAGGCUCCCCCCCUGGAUCUGACAAAGUGUCGGACCUCCGUGGGUGGGACCGGGGGGUCGGCCGAAUUCAGGCCGGGGAGGGCUCGCCCUGCCCGGCCGAAGCCACCGGAGGCUCCCCCCCUGGAUCUGACAAAGUGUCGGACCUCCGUGGGUGGGACCGGGGGGUCGGCCGAAUUCAGGCCGGGGAGGGCUCGCCCUGCCCGGCCGAAGCCACCGGAGGCUCCCCCCCUGGAUCUGACAAAGUGUCGGACCUCCAGGGGUUGGGACCGGGGGGUGGGGCGAAUUCAGGCCGGGGAAGGGCUCGCCCUGCCCGGCCGAAGCCACCGGAGGCUCCCCCCCUGGAUCUGACAAAGUGUCGGACCUCCAGGGGUUGGGACCGGGGGGUCGGCCGAAUUCAGGCCGGGGAGGGCUCGCCCUGCCCGGCCGAAGCCAACGGAGGCUCCCCCCCUGGAUCUGACAAAGUGUCGGACCUCCAGGGGUGGGACCGGGGGGUCGGCCGAAUUCAGGCCGGGGAGGGCUCGCCCUGCCCGGCCGAAGCCACCGGAGGCUCCCCCCCUGGAUCUGACAAAGUCUCGGACCUCCAGGGGUUGGGACCGGGGGGUCGGCCGAAUUCAGGCCGGGGAGGGCUCGCCCGGCCCGGCCGCAGCCACCGGAGGCUCCCCCCCUGGAUCUGACAAAGUCUCGGACCUCCAGGGGUUGGGACCGGGGGGUCGGCCGAAUUCAGGCCGGGGAGGGCUCGCCCUGCCCGGCCGAAGCCACCGGAGGCUCCCCCCCUGGAUCUGACAAAGUCUCGGACCUCCGUGGGUGGGACCGGGGGGUCGGCCGAAUUCAACCCGAAAAGGGCUCUCCCGGCCGGGCCGCAGCCGCCGGAGGCUCCCCCCGUGAAUUUGACAAAGUGUUGGACCUCCGGGAGGGGGACCGGGCGGUGAGCAAAAUGUGUCCGGGAAAGGGCCACUUUAGCCCUGCCUUAAUCGGCGCAGCGACCCGCUGUCCCAUACGACCGAGCCUUGGACCUCCGUGGGGGCGGUGGGACCGGGGGGUCGGCCGAAUUCAGGCCGGGGAGGGCUCGCCCGGCCGGGCCGCAGCCGCCGGAGGCUCCCCCCGUGAAUAUGACAGAGUGUUGGACCUCCGGGAGGGGGACCGGGCGGUGAGCAAAAUGUGUCCGGGAAAGGGCCACUUUAGCCCUGCCUUAAUCGGCGCAGCGACCCGCUGUCCCAUGUGACCGAGCGUUGGACCUCCGUGGGGGCGGUGGGACCGGGGGGUCGGCCGAAUUCACACCGAGAAGGGCUCUCCCGGCAGGGCCGCGGCCGCCGGAGGCUACCCCCGUGAAUUUGACAAAGUGUUGGACCUCCGGGAGGGGGACCGGGCGGUGCGCAAAAUGUGUCCGGGAAAGGGCCACUUUAGCCCUGCCUUAAUCGGCGCAGCGACCCGCUGUCCCAUACGACCGAGCCUUGGACCUCCGUGGGGGCGGGGGGA